UAUUUAGAAUUAUCCAUGGGCAUCUGGGUACAGAGCAGGCACACUUCUUCUUCUCCUUCUUCCCGGAUGGACAAAGGGCGAUUGCGGCCUCCUCACAGAUAGAAUCCUCAGUGUGGAAACUGGAGCAGCUCUUCUCUCCAGCUAAUCUCUUAACUCAGGCUAAUGGACAGCAAAACCACCCUGCAGGCAAUAGUGAAUGACGUGACAAGACCUCCAGUUGGACCAGAUGACCCAGACCAGUUUGAACUAAACCCCUGACUUGCACCUGCACAGAGGGGCCAUGGAGUAACCUCUGGAAUGACCAACAAUCACCUUUACCUCAUUAUAAUACUAAGAUCUCCACUCAAGGAGGGAACACCGGCCUCAUUUACAUAACAUGUAUGUGUAGGCAUGUUCCUUUCAGGCCCAUGCAUGACCUUAUGCCCACCUCUGCAUAUGAUGACAAGACUUCCUCAUCUAAACAUUCAUCUUAACCCUAAACAAAAGAAACCCAAUCACCCUUGCUUGAAGAGUCAGGGCUUUGGAAGUUAUUCCUUGCGAUCUCCUGAUUUGCUGCAAGUAAAGUUUCCUUUGUGUGACAA